GGAGAGCUGUCCGAGCGGUCAAAGGAGCUUGAUUCGAAAUCAAGUGUACCGGGAACGGUACCAAGGGUUCGAAUCCCUUGCUCUCCUCCA
rnacentral:tRNA from 1 species